CGGGCCAGGCCUACCGCGACGCCAGGGCAACUCCCGCUUCCCCCAGCUCUGCUGGCCUCGGUGCCUCAGGCUUCGCGCUGGCUGCCUAACGCCGCCGCCGCGGUGAAAACCCAACCCGGAAGCUACCGAGAGGGGGCGCAAACGCACCCGCCACUAGGGGCGCUUUGCGCCGCCGCCAAGCCGCGCCCCCGGCACCUGACCACGCCUCUCAGACUGCGCCGGCGCGGGCGCUGUCCCCGACAUCCUGAGGCUCGCGGGUGGGGACUGCUCUAGAGCGCUGGCACCGAGUCUGUCCCGCGGGGACGGGCAGCGCGUACGGAGGUGCCGCAGGUGAUGACAGCGGCAGAGCCUAGCAGUCAGACAGAACCGCCGUUCCUCGUCCGAGGUGGACGUGUCUCUGCCUGAGCGCACAGGGCUGGAGUGCAGGGCCGGAGGUGGGGGCGGGGCUUCAGGUGAGGCCCGGAUGUGUAGAGGUCUUUACACUGGGGGCAGGAGUCCAGGUAGCCCUAACCAGGAGCUGCGGGUGGAUCAGGCUCCUGACGGGAAUGGAGUGGGAUUGUGACUGCCCAGGAUCACACCCCGAGCUCGAUGGUCCCAAAGCCUCAGACACCAGCUCAUCCGCCUUGCAGUCUCUCCCAGCUCAGCCUGGUGUUGGAAAGAGAAACAUGAAGGUCCCCACGGCAGAACAGUCACAUCCUAGAUGGUAGAAGGAAGCCAGGUCUGCAGCUCAACGCAGAAUUUACACUCUGGGCGCUCCACCUCCAGCCCCUUACUAUGUAAUCUUGUACUACCAUUUUCUUAUCUGAGAAUGGAAAUAAUAGAGGUGACGUGAGAAUUCAGUUAAUGUAUUUAUGAAGCCUUUAGAACAAGG
rnacentral:lncRNA from 1 species